GAGAGUUUGAUUCUGGCUCAGGACGAACGCUGGCGGCGUGCUUAACACAUGCAAGUCGAGCGAUGAAGCUCCUUCGGGAGUGGAUUAGCGGCGGACGGGUGAGUAACACGUGGGCAACCUGCCUUGUAGAGAGGAAUAGCCAUUCGAAAGGAUGAUUAAUACCUCAUAAUAUUGUAGCUUCGCAUGAAGCAACAAUCAAAGGAGCAGUCCACUACAAGAUGGGCCCGCGGCGCAUUAGCUAGUUGGUGAGGUAACGGCUCACCAAGGCGACGAUGCGUAGCCGACCUGAGAGGGUGAUCGGCCACAUUGGGACUGAGACACGGCCCAGACUCCUACGGGAGGCAGCAGUGGGGAAUAUUGCACAAUGGGGGAAACCCUGAUGCAGCAACGCCGCGUGAGUCAUGACGGUCUUCGGAUUGUAAAGCUCUGUCUUCAGGGACGAUAAUGACGGUACCUGAGGAGGAAGCCACGGCUAACUAC
rnacentral:rRNA from 1 species